rnacentral:rRNA from 1 species
AGUGAACGCUGGCGGUAGGCCUAACACAUGCAAGUCGAACGGCAGCACAGUAAGAGCUUGCUCUUACGGGUGGCGAGUGGCGGACGGGUGAGGAAUACAUCGGAAUCUACUUUUUCGUGGGGGAUAACGUAGGGAAACUUACGCUAGUACCGCAUACGACCUACGGGUGAAAGCAGGGGAUCUUCGGACCUUGCGCGAUUGAAUGAGCCGAUGUCGGAUUGGCUAGUUGGCGGGGUAAAGGCCCACCAAGGCGACGAUCCGUAGCUGGUCUGAGAGGAUGAUCAGCCACACUGGAACUGAGACACGGUCCAGACUCCUACGGGAGGCAGCAGUGGGGAAUAUUGGACAAUGGGCGCAAGCCUGAUCCAGCCAUACCGCGUGGGUGAAGAAGGCCUUCGGGUUGUAAAGCCCUUUUGUUGGGAAAGAAAAGCAGCAGGUUAAUACCCCGCUGUUCUGACGGUACCCAAAGAAUAAGCACCGGCUAACUUCGUG